CUGUUGUUGAUUCUGCUUUCCUUGGGGAAAGCGCAUCUACCUCCCACUCGCUUUUCCUGUUCUUUUUCUCACCACUAUGGUGUUUGACAAAUAUUGGCAGCUGGGUCACCACCAAUAACUUCAAGCAUUCUGCAGUGUAGCUGGGUCCACCACCAAUAUCUGGCAGCUGGGUCCACCACCAAUAAUGAUUCCUUCAAGCAUUCUGCAGUGUGGUAAUCCAAACCCAGUCUUUUGCAGUUUGGUGGUAUCGCGGUAACAGAAACCAAUCCUCUGAAUUCCUAUUGCAAAGCAACAGUCGACACAGAUAUGGCGGACGCCCUCCUCUCAACUUCGCUUCAAGUUCUAUUCGAAAGGUUGGCUUCUCCAGAGCUCAUAAACUUCAUUCGGCGACGGAGCCUUAGCGAUGAACUCCUCAACGAGUUGAAGAGGAAACUCGUGGUUGUUCACAAUGUGCUCGAUGAUGCGGAGGUGAAGCAAUUUUCGAACCCAAAUGUCAAAGAGUGGCUCGUCCCUGUCAAGGAUGCUGUGUAUGGUGCGGAAGACCUGCUGGACGAGAUCGUUACCGACGGAACUCUUAAGGCGUGGAAAUGGAAGAAGUUCUCUGCUUCUGUGAAGGCCCCAUUUGCUAUCAAAAGCAUGGAGUCCAGGGUCAGGGGCAUGAUUGUUCAACUGGAAAAAAUCGCACUAGAAAAAGUUGGGUUGGGGCUGGCAGAAGGUGGGGGCGAGAAACGGUCACCAAGACCAAGAUCACCAAUAACCACUUCUUUGGAGCAUGACUCCAUUUUUGUCGGCAGGGAUGGAAUUCAGAAGGAGAUGGUGGAGUGGUUGCGUUCUGACAAUACAACAGGCGACAAAAUGGGGGUGAUGUCCAUAGUGGGCAUGGGCGGCAGCGGCAAGACCACGCUUGCUCGGCGUCUCUAUAAAAAUGAGGAAGUGAAGAAACACUUCGACUUGCAAGCAUGGGUCUGUGUUUCCACUGAGUUUUUCCUUAUCAAACUCACCAAAACAAUUCUUGAGGAAAUUGGUUCUCCACCUACUUCCGCUGACAACCUAAAUUUGCUUCAGCUUCAACUCACAGAGCAACUUCGUAACAAGAAAUUUCUGCUUGUUCUUGAUGACGUCUGGAAUUUGAAGCCUCGUGAUGAAGGUUAUAUGGAGCUUAGUGAUCGUGAAGUUUGGAAUAUUCUACGAACUCCACUCCUCGCAGCAGAGGGAAGCAAGAUUGUCGUGACCAGUCGUGAUCAAUCUGUUGCAACAACCAUGCGAGCAGUCCCUACUCAUCAUCUUGGGGAAUUAAGCUCUGAAGAUAGUUGGUCCCUGUUUAAAAAGCAUGCAUUUGAAGAUAGAGACCCCAACGCAUACCUUGAGCUUCAACGCAUAGGCAGACAGAUUGUGGACAAGUGCCAAGGAUUGCCUUUGGCUGUGAAAGCACUCGGCUGUCUCUUGUAUUCUAAGGACGAAAAAAGGGAAUGGGACGAUGUGUUGAGAAGUGAAAUAUGGCAUCCGCAGCGUGGCUCCGAAAUUCUUCCGUCUUUGAUAUUAAGCUACCAUCAUCUUUCUUUACCUCUGAAGCAUUGUUUUGCUUAUUGUUCUAUUUUUCCCCAGGACCACCAAUUCAACAAAGAGGAGCUGAUUUUAUUAUGGAUGGCAGAAGGUCUUUUACAUGCACAACAAAACAAAGGAAGGAGAAUGGAAGAGAUCGGUGAGUCAUAUUUUGAUGAGCUUCUUGCCAAGUCUUUCUUUCAAAAAUCUAUUGGAAUAGAAGGAUCAUGCUUUGUAAUGCAUGAUCUAAUACAUGAAUUGGCUCAAUACGUGUCUGGAGAUUUUUGUGCUCGAGUGGAAGAUGAUGAUAAGUUACCACCAGAAGUAUCUGAGAAGGCUCGCCACUUUUUGUACUUUAAUAGUGAUGAUACCAGGCUUGUUGCAUUUAAGAAUUUUGAGGCUGUCCCUAAAGCUAAAUCUCUUCGGACAUUCUUAAGAGUGAAGCCAUGGGUUGAUCUUCCUUUGUAUAAGUUGAGUAAAAGAGUUUUGCAAGAUAUAUUACCAAAAAUGUGGUGUUUACGCGUGUUAUCAUUAUGUGCAUAUACAAUAACUGAUUUGCCUAAAUCGAUAGGUAAUUUAAAACAUUUGCGUUACUUGGAUUUGUCUUCCACGAGGAUUAAAAAAUUACCUAAAUCAGCAUGUUGUUUAUGCAAUUUACAAACGAUGAUGCUGAGAAAUUGUUCAAAACUUGAUGAAUUGCCUUCAAAGAUGGGAAAAUUGAUUAAUUUGCGCUAUCUUGAUAUUGAUGGAUGUGGUUCAUUGAGAGAAAUGUCAAGUCAUGGAAUUGGUCGAUUAAAAAGUUUACAAAGGUUGACUCAAUUUAUUGUGGGCCAAAACGAUGGAUUAAGAAUUGGAGAAUUGGGGGAGCUGUCAGAGAUUCGAGGAAAACUUUGUAUUUCAAACAUGGAGAAUGUGGUGAGUGUUAAUGAUGCAUUAAGGGCUAAUAUGAAGGAUAAAAGUUAUCUUUAUGAGUUAAUCUUUGGUUGGGGUACCAGUGGUGUUACACAAAGUGGUGCAACAACGCAUGAUAUACUCAACAAGUUACAACCUCAUCCAAAUUUAAAACAACUCUCCAUCACAAACUAUCCUGGUGAAGGAUUUCCAAAUUGGCUUGGAGAUCCUUCAGUGUUGAAUCUCGUGUCCCUUGAGCUUCGGGGUUGUGGCAAUUGCUCAACAUUGCCACCACUUGGACAGCUAACCCAGCUUAAAUAUCUGCAAAUCUCAAGGAUGAAUGGAGUAGAGUGUGUGGGUGAUGAGUUAUAUGAGAAUGCUUCCUUUCAAUUCCUAGAAACACUAUCAUUUGAGGAUAUGAAGAACUGGGAGAAAUGGUUAUGUUGUGGAGAAUUCCCUCGUCUCCAAAAGCUUUUUAUACGAAAGUGUCCCAAACUCACUGGGAAAUUACCAGAACAGCUUCUUUCAUUGGUGGAACUUCAAAUUGAUGGAUGUCCGCAGCUGCUUAUGGCUUCACUCACAGUUCCUGCAAUUCGUCAGUUGAGGAUGGUGGAUUUUGGUAAACUGCGGUUGCAAAUGCCAGGUUGUGACUUCACACCUCUUCAAACUUCAGAAAUUGAAAUUUUAGAUGUGUCUCAGUGGAGUCAACUUCCAAUGGCACCACACCAGCUGUCAAUUAGAAAAUGUGAUUAUGUGGAGUCUCUGCUAGAGGAGGAAAUCUCGCAAACCAACAUUCAUGAUCUGAAAAUCUGUGAUUGUAUUUUUUCUAGAUCCCUGCACAAAGUUGGUUUACCCACUACACUGAAAUCACUGUUAAUCUAUAACUGCUCGAAAUUAGCGUUUCUCGUACCUGAGUUGUUCAGAUGCCAUCUCCCAGUCCUUGAACGUCUAAUCAUCGAACGUGGUGUUAUCGAUGAUUCUCUGUCGUUAUCCUUCUCAUUAGGCAUCUUCCCCAAGUUGACUGAUUUCGAAAUCAAUGGUCUUAAUGGGCUUGAGAAGCUCUCGAUUUUGGUUUCAGAGGGUGAUCCCACAUCUUUAUGUUCCCUGCGUCUAAGAGGUUGCUCUGAUCUUGAAUCUAUCGAAUUACGCGCUCUCAACUUGAAGUCUUGUUCGAUUCAUAGGUGCUCCAAGCUCAGGUCAUUGGCACACAGACAGUCAUCUGUACAGUACUUGAAUUUAUAUGAUUGUCCAGAAUUGUUGUUUCAGAGAGAGGGUUUGCCUUCCAACCUACGUGAACUUGAAAUUAAGAAGUGCAACCAACUCACGCCCCAGGUGGAGUGGGGUUUGCAAAGGCUGACCUCUCUUACUCAUUUCAUAAUCAAAGGUGGAUGUGAAGACAUUGAAUUAUUUCCCAAAGAGUGUUUGCUGCCCUCUUCUCUGACUUCUCUUCAAAUCUGGAAUCUUCCAAAUCUCAAGUCUCUUGACAGCGGGGGUCUUCAACAACUCACCUCUCUUUUAGAAUUAAGGAUCUACUUCUGCCCAAAGCUCCAGUUCUCGACAGGAUCGGUUCUUCAACACCUUAUCUCUCUAAAACGAUUAGUAAUUUGUCAAUGCUCGAGGCUCCAAUCAUUGACAGAAGCGGGUCUUCAACACCUCACCUCUCUUGAAAGUUUGUGGAUCCAUGAGUGCCCAAUGCUCCAAUCCUUGAAAAAAGUGGGUCUUCAACACCUCACCUCUCUUAAAACAUUGGAGAUCAUGAUCUGUCGUAAGCUCAAAUACUUGACAAAAGAGAGACUUUCAGACUCCCUCUCUUUUCUGAGGAUCUACGGGUGUCCUCUACUGGAAAAACGGUGUCAAUUUGAGAAAGGGGAAGAAUGGCGUUAUAUAGCUCACAUUCCAAAAAUAAUGAUCAAUGGUGUGCUAUAUUAAUCAAAGUGCCACUCCGCCAAUAUAGAGUCAGCACAGAGAAAAGAUUGAAGCAACAGACUGGGAACUCCAGCAAAGAAAAUCCGUUUCCCCUGGCCCAGACUCUGAUCUUUGGCAGGCUUUCUCUGAGGCAGGUGCCCAGACAACAAUAGCAAGUCUGUUAGGACCCGAAAUGGCCAUCACAACAAACCAGCCACAGAAGGAACUUCUGGCCCUGAAACUUGGGGUUUUGGAACAGAGAGUUUUACAGCCACCCCUGCUGCCGGCUCUAAUAUUUCCAGACCCUCCAUUGGAGGCAAUAAUGCCCAGCUGUUUGUUGACUCAAAGAAGAUUGAGGGCAAGCUGGCUACUCAACCUGCUGAAUGGGCUGGUUUCUAACUUAUUUGGUGAGGUUAUAUCAUCCUGGGCACUUCUGGCCAUAAGAGAUGGGAAUAGGUAAAAAAGCAAAACAAAAAGGGAUUCAUGGCUUUCUGGGCAUGAUUAUGCUUGUAAGUAUUGAGUGUUUGCCUUAUGCAAUAGAAUACAACAUCUGCAUAUGUUCCCUGGUUUCCAUGGACUACUUACAAACUUGUACUGUUCUGAAUGCCUCGAUUUUCAGAAUGAAAGAAAACUCAACCCUCUCGUCCGUAAUUCAGAACCAUCUAAAGCCUGGGCCAUGGAAUAAGCUCAAGCCUUUCUGUACAGAGCAGCUGGACUCUCUCAAAUUUUUGAUUUGUAAAUAUCCAAAGGUGACUUUUCCCAGUGGAGGAAUUGGAGGAAGGGGAGAUUCCUGGGUGCUGAACUAUUGAUGUUCAUUGCUCUGUUCAAGAAGAACAAGAAACUAUUGAACCCUGGCAUUGAGCUGAUGCUUCAUAACGUGUUAUUAUAAGUGUCCGAGUUGUCUGAAUAUACCCCAUAGUCCCUCUGAUGCCUGUACACAAGUCCUCGGGCGCCUCCAGAAAGGAAGCUUGAUAAAGAGCCAUUGUGCACAAAAAAAAACCAGUAGUCAGUGUUCACCCUCACAACAGUAACGCAGCAAGUGUCCUUGAUUCUUAUGGUGAGUUUGGCCCAUCACAUUCACUUCUGCUUUGAAUUCUUUCUCAUCUUCUCCCACCACCUUCUCCAACUUUUCAGCAACAGAAUUUCCAGAACCUGAUGGUAAUAUCCCUUUAUAGACAGUGCCAAAGACUUCUACCAUCGCUUGUACUCAGGAUUCUGUGAUAAAGCUGCAGAUUUUUGAGGUUCAAGCGGUAGAAAACUAGUGAAAUUGCAGCCAGAGAAACGAAGAAGAAGAACGCAGAGGGGCCUAAGAGGACUGAGAGUAUUAGAAUUGCUUUAUUUUGCUUGCAUCUGCCUGAAGUUAGUUCACUGGACUUCAAUAUCUUGAUUAGAGCACUUCCGGAAACAGCAGUUUGAUCCAACCUCCCAUUUGAAAGAGGUAGUCUUUUCCUCCAACAGCUUCCAGUUCCAUUUGCAAACCUCAGGUCCUCAAAAAUAGCAACUGCACAGUAGGCUCCAACACCAAUCCCUGGAUUGGCAAUAUGGUAUUAGUUGGGUGCUUGAAGCUCUCCCACAUACUGGUAUACAAUUUCCAUGUCCAAGCACGGCACCAUGCACUGGUUCGCUGCUCACAUUACCAGUCUUUGUCUUCCAUAUAUCUUAGCCUCUAGAGAACAAGCUGUCCAUUGGUGGUAAGCCCAAACUUUUGAUCCUCUGGGCACCAGUUAACUUCCAUUUGCAGUCCAGAUAGCAAGAAGGAAUAGGUCCUCUUCACUUGGAGAGGGUCGGAAUCCAAAUGCAAAAUCACCAGAAAGGCAAAGCCCAUGUGGAGUUUUCAUCAGUGGCAUAGAGAGAUGAACCCAAGCUUAUAUUACCAUAAGCUUGGCUGAUGAGUAACAAGUAGGGGUAGAGAGACAAUGUAUGUAAGUUAUUAUUCACUGCUUUUCUCUGCAUGUUGAUUAAGUUGAAAGAGACUAGCGAAUAUUAUUUUCUUCUAUAAUUGAACAUUCUCUUGUAAUUGAA